rnacentral:rRNA from 1 species
GAGCGAACAGACGAGGAGCUUGCUCCUCUGACGUUAGCGGCGGACGGGUGAGUAACACGUGGAUAACCUACCUAUAAGACUGGGAUAACUUCGGGAAACCGGAGCUAAUACCGGAUAAUAUAUUGAACCGCAUGGUUCAAUAGUGAAAGACGGUUUUGCUGUCACCUAUAGAUGGAUCCGCGCCGCAUUAGCUAGUUGGUAAGGUAACGGCUUACCAAGGCAACGAUGCGUAGCCGACCUGAGAGGGUGAUCGGCCACACUGGAACUGAGACACGGUCCAGACUCCUACGGGAGGCAGCAGUAGGGAAUCUUCCGCAAUGGGCGAAAGCCUGACGGAGCAACGCCGCGUGAGUGAUGAAGGUCUUCGGAUCGUAAAACUCUGUUAUUAGGGAAGAACAAAUGUGUAAGUAACUAUGCACGUCUUGACGGUACCUAAUCAGAAAGCCACGGCUAACUACGUGCCAGCAGCCGCGGUAAUACGUAGGUGGCAAGCGUUAUCCGGAAUUAUUGGGCGUAAAGCGCGCGUAGGCGGUUUUUUAAGUCUGAUGUGAAAGCCCACGGCUCAACCGUGGAGGGUCAUUGGAAACUGGAAAACUUGAGUGCAGAAGAGGAAAGUGGAAUUCCAUGUGUAGCGGUGAAAUGCGCAGAGAUAUGGAGGAACACCAGUGGCGAAGGCGACUUUCUGGUCUGUAACUGACGCUGAUGUGCGAAAGCGUGGGGAUCAAACAGGAUUAG